CAGUAGCCGCGGUAAUACGGAGGAUCCAAGCGUUAUCCGGAAUCAUUGGGUUUAAAGGGUCCGUAGGCGGUCUUGUAAGUCAGUGGUGAAAGCCCAUCGCUCAACGGUGGAACGGCCAUUGAUACUGCAGGACUUGAAUUAUUGGGAAGUAACUAGAAUAUGUAGUGUAGCGGUGAAAUGCUUAGAGAUUACAUGGAAUACCAAUUGCGAAGGCAGGUUACUACCAAUUGAUUGACGCUGAUGGACGAAAGCGUGGGUAGCGAACAGGAUUAGAGACCCCAGUAGUCCCUGUCUCUUAUAA
rnacentral:rRNA from 1 species